AUACGUAGGGGGCGAGCGUUGUCCGGAAUGAUUGGGCGUAAAGGGCGCGUAGGCGGCCGAUUAAGUCUGGAGUGAAAGUCCCGCUUUCAAGGUGGGAAUUGCUUUGGAGACUGGUUGGCUUGAGUGCGGAAGAGGUAAGUGGAAUUCCCAGUGUAGCGGUGAAAUGCGUAGAGAUUGGGAGGAACACCAGUGGCGAAGGCGACUUACUGGGCCGUAACUGACGCUGAGGCGCGAAAGCGUGGGGAGCGAACAGGAGUAGAUACCCUGGUGGUCCACGCUGUAAACGAUGAAUGCUAGGUGUAGGGGGUAUCGACCCCUCCUGUGCCGGAGUAAACGCAAUAAGCAUUCCGCCUGGGGAGUACGGCCGCAAGGUUGAAACUCAAAUGAAUUGACGGGG
rnacentral:rRNA from 1 species